rnacentral:rRNA from 1 species
UUUCGGUAGGUGAACCUGCCGUUGGAUCAGU